rnacentral:RNase_P_RNA from 1 species
GUAGAUAAAGUGGUGCUGAGAGGAAAGUCCGGACACUUAUAGGGAGCAAUCCCCAUAAAACCGAACAGCUAACGGCUGCCUCCUGAGCAAUCAGGACGGGAAAGUGCCACAGAGACUAUACCGCCCAGCACCACUUUUUGGAAUCAAGAUUAAAAAUGUUUUGUCUUCAAAAAGUGGUGCUGGGUAAGGGUGAAAAGAGUGGGGUAAGAGCCCACAGUUGUGCAUGGUAACAUACACAAGUGGAAAACCCUCGGCGGUGCAAGUGAGUUGGCCCCAGCACCACUUGGUCCAAAUAUCCUUUUUGUAAAAUUACACUGUCUUUGCAGAUGUGAUAAAACAAUUCAAUUGAUGUUUUGAGCAAGUGGUGCUGGGAGGCUCAUGCUUGAGGUGAUAGGCGACUAUCAUCCCAGAGAGAUACAUAUCGAGAUACAGAAUCCGGCUUACUACUUGGGUACUUUU